GGCUCAGCCCGGCGGAGUCUGACUUCCGGAGGGCCCGCGGCGCGCUGGCUGGUUACCACGGUUACCACCGAGACGCCGAGUCCUCAGACACGCGUGGGGUCGGGGCUGUGGCACGGUCCGGUCCGGGCUUGAAUGCACCAAGGAAAGUCCAUUUGUGGGGACAUAGCAAGAAGGCAGCGGUCUGCAAGCCAGGAGGAGAGCCCUCACCAGAAACCUCACAGAAAUCGGCCAGCAGCCUCAUCUCAGGCUUCCAGCCUCAGAACAAUGAGAAAACAAAUUUCUGUUGCGCUUCUGAACAGCUUCCAAGAGAUGAUGCAUGCAAAAGAGCUCUGUGUGCAGAAGAUCACCAAGCAUGAGGCAUUAUUAAGGGCAAACCAACCAAGUUCUAUUUACAAUCGCAAGUGUCUUCUAAGAAGGGCAGCUACCGACCAGGAGAGCCCCCUAUUCUCCCUGCAGAGGAUCUGCAGAUCUGCAACGCUGGCUGGGCUAGGAAUGAAGUUUGCUGAGGGCGAAAGCAGAUGGCUCCACCGAGAACUCACGCCAGCCCAACACACUUUGAUCUCGAGGCUUCUGGAAGGGAAGGUGCCUAAUGAACUGCUGAAAGCAGAGAUGCAAUGACAAAGCUACCAAGACUGGAGGUGUUCCAGGUCUUUCAUCCAAGAGCCCCAAGACGUAGCCUAAAUUCACACCAUGGUAAUCCCAGCACUUUGGGAGGCCGAGGUGGGCAGAUCACCUGAGGUCAGGAGUUCGAGAGCAGCCGGGCCAACAUGGUGAAACUCCAUCUCUACUAAAAAUACAGAAAUUAGCCAGGUGUGGUGGCGGGUGCCUGUAAUCCCAGCUACUCAGGAGGCUGAGGCAGGAGAAUCGCUUGAACCUGGGAGGCGGUGGUUGCAGUGAGCCGAGAUUGCGUCACUGCACUCCAGCCUGGGCGACAAGAGUGAAACUCCAUCUCAAAAUAAAAUAAAAAUAAAUAAAUUGACACAGUGAGUGCCUCGCUCCCACCACCACCUCCAGCAUAGCACCAUGACAGUCUUCUCACAUAUCAAGUCCCAAAACACACUGUCGGCAUCCAGAAAGUGAGAGUAACUCGUUACAGUUGAGACCUCUCACUCCCAGUCAUUAUCUCCUUUCAAUCCAAGAGGUAGACUUCUUCAUCGCCCCUGACACACACAUGAGGAAAAGGCCCAGAGAGGUAAAGUGAUGCCUCAGGUCACUCAGCCACUUACCGGUAGAGCAGAUCCUUCAAUGCAAGUUUUUCUCCAACCCUACACAGCAGUCGUACCAGGGCCCCAGGCUGCAAUCCCCUGGCCCAGUGCCGAUUGGUGGCUUCCAGGGACACAUGCCCUGAUGCCGGCGCUGGCAGAUGUCUGCUGUGAAGAGAGCAGGAAACUGUCCCUUGGAAAGCCGAGAUGCUUACCUGAACUGUGAAAGUAUCCAUAUGUGAGCAGCUAAGGAGACAGCGGUGGCUGGAGUGCUGCGGCUCAGGCACAGCUGGUGAGAGGCAUUCCUCACUCACAGGCCCUCACCCACUGCUAGAGACAGUGAGCCCCAUCCUGACCACUUCCCCUUUCUAGUCAGCCCACGGGGCAGAGACCCUGGCGUCAUCUCUAGGCAACCAUCCCUUUUCCAGGGAAGCUCACCACCGACGGCUGUCCAGAAGCCAGAAUCUUCUCACUGCCCCGUGUCGCUCCCGCAAGGCCUACCAGAGGACCCUCAUGGUGUGGUAGGGGGUCCUGGCAGGGGCCAGGGUGGAGACUUGGCAGUGGGGGUGGGUUUGGUGUCCCCACAGACGAGUUUUCCUUGAGCAUUCCUGGAUGUGGCAACCUCAGUCUCAAGAAGAGCGACAGGACGCCAGCUCCCAUGCAGAGACAGAUCCAGGUAAGAAACCAGCUCAUGUGUGACAAACUCACCAUCUCACCACGAGGGUGACUCUUGAAAGCUCCUGUGCACCUUGGAACUGCUGACACAUCUUCUGCUUGGAGGAAGCAAGGGACAGGCUUCCUGUUUCUAAAGGCGGAUCCCAUUGUGAAGCAUCUGCUGGGACUGGGACUAGAGCCUGAAACCAGUGUUUUACAUCCCUUUUCUUACAUCUCACUUCAUCUUCACUGACCCUGAAGAUUAUCAUCACCAUUUUACAGAGUUUCGCUCUUAUUGCCCAGGCUGGAGUGCAAUGGCGUGAUCUCGGCUCACUGCAACCUCUGCCUUCUGGGUUCAAGCAAUUCUCCUGCCUCAGCCUCCUGAGUAGCUGGGAUUACAGCCAAGCAGAUGUUGCAGCUCCUCUGUCUCCCACCCUGGCCCCCAUGACAUUGAGGUGGGGUCGUUCCAGCUCAGAUGUAAAAAAGCAAGCCUCCUGGAGUCACAAAGCCUGGAGAACAGGAGAACCACCAAAGAAGAUGAAACAGCUAGUUCCUGCCUUAAUGAUUAACCGACCUUGCAACAUUCCACCAUUGUGAUAUGUUCCUGCCCUACCCUAACUAAUCCAUCCACCUUGUGAUAUCCUGCCUUGUGACUUCCUCCCACUUUGUGACUAUGCACUUUGUGACAUUCUUCCCCUGCCCAAAAAAACUGCCCCUAACUGUAACUUUCCACUACCUACCCCAAACCUAUAAAACCAGUUCUACUCCCACCACCCUUCGCUGACCCCUUUCUCUGACUCAGCCCACUUGCACCCAGGUGAAUAAACAGCCUUGUUGCUCAUA